rnacentral:rRNA from 1 species
GUCUAUAUGGUGUGGCUCUAGCUUCUAACGGUCCUUGACGGGACAACUUCUGACAAUUUGGCCUCAAAUCGGGUGGGACUACCCGCUGAACUUAAGCAUAUCAAUAAGCGGAGGAAAAGAAACUAACAAGGAUUCCCCUAGUAACGGCGAGUGAAGAGGGAAAAGCUCAAAUUUUGAAUCUGGUGUCUCUGACGCCCGAGUUGUAAUCUAGAGAAGUGUUUUCCGUGUCGGACCGUGCACAAGUUCCCUGGAAUGGGGUGUCAUAGAGGGUGAGAAUCCCGUAUAUGGCAUGGACUGCCGAUGCUUUGUGAUACACUCUCAACGAGUCGAGUUGUUUGGGAAUGCAGCUCAAAAUGGGUGGUAAAUUCCAUCUAAAGCUAAAUAUUGGCGAGAGACCGAUAGCGAACAAGUACCGUGAGGGAAAGAUGAAAAGCACUUUGGAAAGAGAGUGAAACAGUACGUGAAAUUGUUGAAAGGGAAGCGUUUGAAGUCAGUCAUAUCUGGUGGGAUUCAGCCCUGGCUUCUGCCUGGUGUACUUUCCAUCCGAUGGGUCAGCAUCAAUUUCGACCGAGGGAAAAAGGCGCUGGGAAUGUGGCUGUCUUCGGGCAGUGUUAUAGCCUGGUGUUGUAUGCCUUGGUUGGGAUUGAGGAACGCAGCGCGCCUUUUGGCCAGGGGUUCGCCUCUUGACACGCGCUUAGGAUGCUGGCAUAAUGGCUUUAAGCGACCCGUCUUGAA